UGGGGAAUUUUGGACAAUGGGGGGAAACCCUGAUCCAGCCAUCCCGCGUGUGCGAUGAAGGCCUUCGGGUUGUAAAGCACUUUUGGCAGGAAAGAAACGUCGCGGGUUAAUACCCCGCGAAACUGACGGUACCUGCAGAAUAAGCACCGGCUAACUACGUGCCAGCAGCCGCGGUAAUACGUAGGGUGCAAGCGUUAAUCGGAAUUACUGGGCGUAAAGCGUGCGCAGGCGGUUCGGAAAGAAAGAUGUGAAAUCCCAGAGCUUAACUUUGGAACUGCAUUUUUAACUACCGGGCUAGAGUGUGUCAGAGGGAGGUGGAAUUCCGCGUGUAGCAGUGAAAUGCGUAGAUAUGCGGAGGAACACCGAUGGCGAAGGCAGCCUCCUGGGAUAACACUGACGCUCAUGCACGAAAGCGUGGGGAGCAAACAGGAUUAGAUACCCUGGUAGUCCACGCCCUAAACGAUGUCAACUAGCUGUUGGGGCCUUCGGGCCUUGGUAGCGCAGCUAACGCGUGAAGUUGACCGCCUGGGGAGUACGGUCGCAAGAUU
rnacentral:rRNA from 1 species